UACAGAGGGUGCAAACGUUGCUCGGAAUUAUUGGGCGUAAAGCGCGUGUAGGCGGCUUGUUAAGUCGGUUGUGAAAACCCAUGGCUCAACCAUGGAAGGGCGUCCGAAACUGGCAAGCUAGAGUCCCGACGAGGAUGGCGGAAUUCCCAGUGUAGAGGUGAAAUUCGUAGAUAUUGGGAGGAACACCGGUGGCGAAGGCGGCCAUCUGGGAGGGCACUGACGCUGAGAUGCGAAAGCGUGGGGAGCAAACAGG
rnacentral:rRNA from 1 species